GAUCAUGGCUCAGGACGAACGCUGGCGGCGUGCCUAACACAUGCAAGUCGAACGGAGCGCUAUUGAGGAACUUUUCGGAGGGAAUCGAGAGCAGCUUAGUGGCGGACGGGUGAGUAACGCGUGAGGAACCUGCCUUUCAGAGGGGGACAACAGCUGGAAACGGCUGCUAAUACCGCAUAACGCAGCGGGAUCGCAUGAUCCUGCUGCCAAAGAAUUAUCGCUGAAAGAUGG
rnacentral:rRNA from 1 species